AUUCAGCUGACGAUUUCCAAAUAAGACGAAACACGUGUCCUGGAU
rfam:Schistosoma curassoni strain Dakar, Senegal genome assembly, scaffold: SCTD_scaffold0002792